GACAGAGGUCCCGAGCGUUAGGCGGAAUCACUGGCUUAAAGCGUGCGCAGGCGGUUUGUAAGUUGUCGUGAAGCCCGGCUCAACCUGGGAAUUGCAUUCGAGACUGCUCUGCUAGGUGCGGAAGAGGAAGCGGAAUUCCGGUGUAGCGGUGAAAUGCGUAGAUAUCGGAAGGAACACCAGUGGCGAAAGCGGCUUCCUGGUCCAGCACCGACGUUCGAGGCA
rnacentral:rRNA from 1 species